GAUGAACGCUGGCGGCGUGCCUAACACAUGCAAGUCGAACGGGAAUAUCCUGCGGGCGAGAUUUCGGUCAAGCCGGGGAUGUUUUAGUGGCGGACGGGGGAGUAACGCGUGGAUAACCUGCCUUACACUGGGGGAUAACACUUAGAAAUAGGUGCUAAUACCGCAUAAGCACACAGCCCCGCAUGGGGGAGUGUGAAAAACUCCGGUGGUGUAAGAUGGAUCCGCGUCUGAUUAGCUAGUUGGCAGGGUAACGGCCUACCAAGGCAGCGAUCAGUAGCCGGCCUGAGAGGGUGGACGGCCACAUUGGGACUGAGACACGGCCCAG
rnacentral:rRNA from 1 species